GUUUAAAGUUUCUUCAAACAACAAACUGUAAUAAUGAAGGCUUCCUUAAUUUUCUUGCUUGUUGGAUUCUUUGUGGUGGUUCAAUCUGUCAAUUCGGCUAAAAUACUCGUACCUCCGAAAAUUGUGUGCAAAUACGUCUGUACUGGAAUAUGCCCGACUGUUCCAGCUGACUGCGAAGCACGAGGCGGCAAAGUUGAAAAGAAGAUGUGCAGUUGUUGUGAUAGCUGUAUUUUUGAAUCUGAUACCAACGAGAUGUGCGGCCAUAAUUCGGAAGAUGCCAUAAUUCACCAAUGUAAAGUCGAAACUGAUUUUUGUAUUGACGGUACAUGCCAACCAAACGUUUAAAUAAAAUUAUAUGCAUUUUCAACAAGAAAACGGAAUAAAUUAUUAUUUCAAAUUAUUUUUUGUCCUACAACUCAAAAUAUUAUUAUAUUGUAACGCAGGAACAUAUUUAACAUACAUAUUUCCUUUAUAAUUAAAUUGAAAAUAUAAUUAUUUAUAAAUAAUACUGGCUUUCCAAGCGAUUUAUAUACCUAUUAUACAUUUUUUAUAAACUAUGUGAAAUCCUGUUCGACGACACGAUUCCUUAUCGUGCAACAGUCUGCCAUAAAUUUAGCAUAUUAUAAAUGAUUAUGAGCGGAACAGUGUCAUUGUGAUAUCAUACCUUGUACACGUUUUGUAUUCACAAUUGAACUAAAAUAACUUCAGUCACGUUGAAACAUAAUAUAUAAAUUUAUGGAAAAAAUGUAUAGAAUCCUUUUGUGUUUAGUAACAAUCUGCGUGUUAAGCGUUGAAUGUCAAUCGCCAUUUGUCUGUUUGUUCGUUUGCAUAGAAGAGUGUCCUCCGAUUGAAGCAAAUUGCCAAAAAUUAGGUGGAAACAUGGAAAAGUUACAUCCUUGUGAUUGUUGUAAAACCUGCGUUAUAUCUGAAAAAGGUUUGGGAGAAAAGUGUGGAAAGCUUGAAACUUAUUUCUAUGCAACAUGUGAUGAUGAAUUAUCUUGCAGUGAUAAUAUCUGCCAACAAAAACAAGAAUAAUUAUUAUGUUAACAAUAAAAAAAGACAUCAAAUUGCUUUUUUAGCAUUGGCUACAUCUUUUUUAAAAUAUUUACCAAAUGUGCUUUUUAUUUGAUGAAUUUCCUUACAUAAACUUUCAAUUAAAAAUAUAUAUUAAUUUAUAUUAUAAAUUUAAUAUUUUACCAUACGA